AAACCUAAAGGCCUGUGAUACGAGACUGAGCCCGGAUCCCGCAAGAGGUUUGGAGAUCGAGGCCUUUCUCCGGCGGGCCCUGGCCUGAGGCUGCCUGUGGAUCAAGGUCUGCUUGUGGUCUGCUAAGGGCAUGGCAAAUAGAACCCUGGCCCUAUGUGAGGUGAGGCCUGGUUGCCGGGUGACUGUCCGUGGCAGCCACUUGCUGUCCGAAGGACUCUGCCUCCUGUGUUCACCCCUCAGCUGCAGCCACCCUGCUACCUCUCCUGCCCUUGCUACCAUGUCGCGGCAACUCAACAUGGAUACGCAGCGGCAGAACUUCUGGAAGGAGGAAUAUCUGAGGGAGAAGAUGUUUCGCUGUGAAUGGCACCGCAAGUACGGGUCGACGGUGAAGGCCAAGCAGAAGGCUAAGGCUGCAGCCCGCCUGCCCCUCGUGCUGCCCACCCUGCACCCCAAAGCCCCACUCUCCCCCCCACCUGCCCCCAAAGCGGUGCCUUCCAAGACCCCCGGCCCUCCCCUGGAGACGCCCAUUCAGUCCGAAAUGUAUCCGGUACUGCCUGCCACCCGGGCCCUGCUGUACGAAGGCAUCUCCCACGACUUCCAGGGGCGCUCCCGCUACCUCAACACCCGAAAACUGGACAUGCCAGAGAUGCGCUACCUCUUCCCCGUCACCACCAACUUCAUAUACGGCUGGCAGCUGGGUGAGCCCCAACCUCCCAGAGAUCAUUCACUUCACAAACACGGAGCUCCUGCCAUGAGCCAGGCCAUGCUGUCGGCUCUAGGCACACAAGACACACGGAUGGGGGUGUCCAUUCUCGCGGGGGGGUCCAGGCCGUAAACAUAAGACGAAGGAAACAUCUGAGAAGGACAGGUUCCAUGAUGAGACUAGGGAGUGAUGGGAGAGAGGGGCAGGGGGCAUGAGACGUUUUAGAUGGGAUGUCAGGAAAGGCCUCUGGGAGGACCGACCUAAGGGCUGGAAGCUAAGUGACACAAUGGAGGAACCCAAGUGGGAGAGGAAGCCAUGGAGAGUUUUAAGCAGGCCCCCCGGUGAAGCAAGAACUGGUCUCCUGUAAGAUGUGCCGCAUCGAAUCAUUCUUCCGAAAGAAUGGGGCCUUCGCACUGCUUGACCCCCGGGACCUGGCUCUCUGACCUUGGCCGGGCAGUGGAGUUAGGGGAGGGAAGACGAAAUAACACGCCUUCUAGUGGGACUGA